GUUAGGGUUUGCAGAGCCUGGCAACUGCAUAAAACUUAAAAUUCUAUCCACAGUGGUUCAAGUCCUCUUCCUAAGA
rfam:Sus scrofa breed Duroc isolate TJ Tabasco Contig324_1, whole genome shotgun sequence.